AAAAACCUUUGUUGGUUUUUGCGGGCUCACCAACGAACCUUUACAAAGUGUUUAAUAACAAAAGGAAAGAUUCAAACUCCUAAAUGAGCAUAUGAAACAAUAUAAGCUACAAGGAAGAGUUAGAAAGUAUUUAUCGCUUUGAAGUUGCUUUGCUCUUCUUUGUCAAGGAUGCUUCACUCUUUAAGGGGGAUGGAGCUCUUGAUGCCUCUUUGAAUCUGCUCAAUCCCUUUCUUUGAUUCUUGAAUGAAGCUCUUGAUGAAG
rnacentral:lncRNA from 1 species